rnacentral:rRNA from 1 species
GCUGAUUGCGCGAAAGCGUGGGGAGCAAACAGGAUUAGAUACCCUGGUAGUCCACGCCCUAAACGAUGGAUGCUAGUUGUUGGAGGGCUUAGUCUCUCCAGUAAUGCAGCUAACGCAUUAAGCAUCCCGCCUGGGGAGUACGGUCGCAAGAUUAAAACUCAAAGGAAUAGACGGGGACCCGCACAAGCGGUGGAGCAUGUGGUUUAAUUCGAUUCUACACGAAGAACCUUACCUAGGCUUGACAUUGAGAGAAUCCGCUAGAAAUAGUGGAGUGUCUGGCUUGCCAGACCUUGAAAACAGGUGYUGCACGGCUGUCGUCAGCUCGUGUCGUGAGAUGUUGGGUUAAGUCCCGCAACGAGCGCAACCCCCUUUCUUAGUUGCUAACAGGUUAUGCUGAGAACUCUAAGGAUACUGCCUCCGUAAGGAGGAGGAAGGUGGGGACGACGUUAAGUCAUCAUGGCCCUUACGCCUAGGGCUACACACGUGCUACAAUGGGGUGCACAAAGAGAAGCGC